rnacentral:rRNA from 1 species
UACAGAGGGUGCGAGCGUUAAUCGGAAUUACUGGGCGUAAAGCGCGCGUAGGCGGCUUUGCAAGUCGGGUGUGAAAUCCCCAGGCUUAACCUGGGAACUGCAUUCGAGACUGCAUGGCUAGAGUAUGGGAGAGGGAAGUGGAAUUUCCGGUGUAGAGGUGAAAUUCGUAGAUAUCUGGAGGAACACCGGUGGCGAAGGCGACGUCCUGGACCGGCAUUGACGCUGAGGCGCGAAAGCCAGGGGAGCAAACGGG